rnacentral:lncRNA from 1 species
UUUGGUCAAAGCUUCCAAAGGAAGCUUUGACUCUGAUUUUUUUAGGCCAAGACCGACCUUAUCCUUUCCCCCAGUAGAUUUUUCUUCUUCUUCAUCCAUGCUCCAUGCCAUUCUUGAAGCUUCCAUGACAUUUUCUCUUUAUCCACCAUGAAAUCAAGUUUUCUUCACUUUCCUUUCCAUGUUUUCUUUUUCUUUCUUCUCCAAACUUCUUGAGCAUUAAAUUUACAGCCUUUAACCCCAAUUUCCAACACACCAAAACCCUAGGAGGAGAAGAAAGAAAAAGAGAGAAAGGAAGAAAAAGCUUGGUUUUGGUGAUUCAAGCAAGAAACGGUAAGAAUUCUUGUUCUUGGCUUGAGUAGUCUUUGAAAAUGAGUUAGUGACUUAGAGAAAUGUCUUGUGGUAACAUGUAAGCCAAUAAACCCAUGGGUACAUGAAGGACUCAAAGUGAAAAAGGAAAACGGUAAGCUUAACACUAUGUUUUAAAGCCUACAAUUAGUUGAAUAUUGUGAGGAAUUGUGGUUGUUGAAAGGAUUUAUUUGCCUAAGCUAGUUAAAAAUUAUUAAGAUUGUAUGGCAUGUCGUUUGAAAGAAAUGAAAAAGGAAUAUUGUGGAUGUAGGAUUGAGAAACAAAGUAUUGAAAGUUAGAUAGAUAACAAUGCAUGUAAACUAGGAAAUAAUCGAGUGAAAGUGAGAAUGAUUGUUACUGCCAUAUAUGUGGAUUAUGUGAAAUAUAAGAUGGAUUUGGGUGGAAAUUAUUUAAAAAGGUUGAAGUAGACACGUGCAUCAUAAUUAAGUACCCAGUGAUAUAAUUUAAGGAAUUACGUAAGCAAUGGAUAUAUGUAAUUUUAGUAAAAAUGUAUCUAGAUGUGAGUUAAUUGAAGAUGGUUUCAUGAAAGGAUGAAAACUAUAAAUUUGAGUAAGGAUUAAUUGAUUGAAGUGCUGCCCGUAUACGUAUAUAAUUAAAUAUACUGAGUUUGUAUCAUUGUUAGGAAGUGCAAAGAUAAGGUUAGAGUACUAUGGCGGCAUGCCGAAGGGAAUAAGGAGCAAUCGACAAGUAGAAAUAGCUAGAUACACCUUUGAGCUAAUAGCGAUGUAACAUCCUACUAUCGUAACGUGAGUGAACUUGCACUAAAAUGUUUUGGGUAGAUGUACAUAUGUUCGAUUCAAUUACUUGAACUGUUUAAAUUGUCUUUUCUGCAAAAUGCUUGGGAACAAGCUUUUAGUGAAAUGUCUUUGUGAUGAGGAACAUGAUUG